ensembl:lncRNA
GCAACGACUCCCAGGUGCCGCGGGGCCGCGGCCGGCCGGGCGCAGCUGCGCCUCGUCGGGAGCCGCGGGCGGGGCCCGCCCCAAAGCCUCUUAAGCUCCGCCGGAGGCUGCUGGGAGCCACGGAGGAGUUUCUGCGGUUCUCUGUUGGAAGCGAAAUGGACUUUGGUUUCUUUGCGCGGCUUUAGAGCUGCUGGGGUUGAGGAGCGGUAUGAGGGGCUGUUUUUAAAAUGGUGCCUUGGGGUUCUCUUUAUUGUUCUCGUUGUGUGGUUUUGUUUUAGGCUUCUGUGAGAUCUCCCGCGGUGAGGAUCAGCCCAUACCGAGGAGUGGUUCUGGCUGAACAAGUGGUGCAGCAGAGCCAAAACCGGUAAGGUCGUGGAAGCAGUGAGUGUGGGGGAGUCACCUGGUAAGAUCUCUUUUCUUGGGGGCUUGGUCGGCUACCUAUGCGCCUUCGGGCUCGGCACUGUACCGCCGCUGGGCUCGGGCUCCCGCGUGGGUUUUUAGCGGGGCCGGCACGGUGCUGCCGCCCGAGACCGAGCACGGCUCCGGGGUGGCCUCUUCCCCCGGGAAGGGUUUUGUGGGUGCUCCCACCCAUCCCGUUUCCUGCGGUGGGAGUGAGCAGGUUGGAACGAUGUAUUUCUCUGCCUUUUCCUUCACGUGUAGCUUCAGGAGCACGGUUUAGGUUGCCACUGCAGAGACCUGGCAGGGCAGCUCGCACGACUGGAGUGCUGUCGUGGAUGGCUCUGUUCCUUUUAGGAAAGACAGACCGGCCAGGCGGUGGAGUCUCUCUUCGAGGGAGAGAACGGGAACGUAUCGAGCUCCACCUAGGGAUGACUGAAGAAGCAGCGGAGCAUUUGCGUGUGAGGCUGAAGAGGCAGCUGAAAGUGUUGUUCACAGCUGUGAGGCCAGUUCUCAUGGUAGACUCCAGGAGUUUCCUGCAAUGUGUCAAAGUUUCAGUGGUUGCUGCUGAGACUGCUCCUGGGGAACCUGGGAUCCUGGAGGAAAGAGGCUGAGGAAGGAUGAUUUCCCCUCAGCUGCGGAGGAGCUGGUCAAAGGAAAGGUACCUGAAGACUGGAGGAUAGCUGAUGUCACCACAGCCUUCAGAAAAGGUGUCAUUGCCAUGUGACCAGAAGAGAAGAAGUUUGUAAGGAGCAGUCAAGAUGGAUUCACAGAGGGGAAUUCAUGCUGGACCAAAAGGGCAAAGGAGAGCUUUGCAGAGAGGAUUGGCUGGAACAGGUGUGCGCUUUUCCCAGUGGUGGGAUGAAGGAGGGUGGAAGGUCAUGCCCUGAAGGAGGGGAGUUAAGGGAGAGUGGCCCUUUCCAGCUGGAGCUGGGGGUCCCGGUGCGGCUGAUGUCCCGUGGGGAAGAUGCAGAUCCCGGGAGCUGCGACCAGGAGGAGGAGCGGAGCCAGCAGGCUUGGAUGACCUUGCUGAGGCUGAACAAGAGUACAAAACCUGUGAGUUAAAUGGGUGGAACAAAACUACAGCUGCUGCACCUUACCGGGCCGAGAGUCGUGACCUGAUCUUCCAUCUUUUACACAAAACGAGUCAGAUCUUCAGCUUGCUGCCACGAGUAACUCACACAUUCUCCAAUUCCUCGUAUGGAAAGAAGGUUUUCUUCUAAGGGAUUAUUCCAAUGCGUAAAAUCGGUGAAUUCACCUGUACAGUAAUGAAAUACUUUCAAUAAUUUCAUGCAAAACUUUCUUUAAGCAGUGCCUUGGGCCAAUCUUUCCAUGUGAGAGCUGCAUCAGUAAAAGUUCUCCUUUCGGUCCAUUUCUGACUUAUUUUUUAUAAUUUAGUUUAAAAGUUCAAGUCAUCCAACCAAAGCUGUGACAACAGGAAUAACAGGCUCGUGGUAUAACAGCAGUAGGAUUUAGGCACCUGUGGAGGGAGAAACACUGAAGAUUUCACCGUGGGUUCAGGGUGGGCCAAACAUUAAAAUCCCUUUCUUGGUUUAAGAUCAGAAUGCACCUUCGUGGGAUUCAUUUCUUCCUUACAUCUCAGUAACCAAGUAUGCAUUGAGUGACCUACACCUUUAAGGGGGAAAAUGGUCUCAGUCAAGCGCUGGAUGAAUAUAAAUAGUAAUAAUAAAAGCCUAUCAGUAAGGAAAAGCUGAGCAUUCUUUUUGAAUGCAAACAUAAUAAUUAAUAAUAAUCAUAAUCAUAAUCUGUGGCACAGGACCCAAAGAGACCUUUUCCUCACAGUUUCACACAGCAGUUCUCUCAUCAGCUCUGAAACCAUCUACCUCUGCAACUCAGAAAGCUUUCUUUUUUUCUUUUCCUGAAAGUUCAAGGAUACGUUAUCCAUUUUCUGGGCAAGUUUAGAACUUUGGGUCUCACUUCUGCAUACACGGAUUCUUCUCUAAAGUCACUAAGACAGAACAAAACCCGAGACCCUCUUUGGACUGCAAAUCCAGAAGCAUUCGACCCUGCGGUUCUGCCAAGCAGUGUGAAACACCGUAUUUGUAUCCGCCUCACGGAGCUCCCGCCCGAGUUUUUUCUCCGCGCUGAGCAUCAGUCUGCAGUCCUCGGUAAUUCCGGUAGAGGGCAAUACAAUAAAGCCAUUCAUAGAGGGCUCUCCGAGGCAGCUGCCGUAACUGGCUCCCACAGAACGCCUCAGGCUUUCUUCUUGUUCUGGAUUGGUGUGCUAAUGCCAAAUAUUUACAAUUGAAUCUUUUUUUGAUCCCGGGAACGCUCAUACUGCUUAUUUCUUCUUUGACAGCACAAACGCACGGGCGCGUUCUCAGUGCCUGAAAACAUCUCUAUGCAAAAAUCAAGAUAUAACUCUCUUUGCUACCACUUUUUUUUUGUCUCAUCCUCAGCCAUCCGUUUGAAUGUAAACGUUACAGUAUACCUCACAUCCGUAAGGAGUCUUUACAUUCAGGUGUAGUUUUAAAAAGUCUCAUAGGAACCUCUUGCAGUCGAUUAAUGGGCACAUCGGAAGCAAAUCAACUGGAAGUACGGGAUGAGUGUUAUUUAAUUCUCCCUAGGGCUUUGCUAUUCACACACUCCUCUGUGCAGGUAGAUAUUCACGUGCGUAUGAAAGGAAAACUCACCUUCAAGGCGUAACAAAGGGAAACCGCGCUGAGAUCAUUCGUAGGAAAGCAUCAUUUCACAGUACAUAGGUUUAUGGAUUGUGAGAGAUAGUGAUGCAUUUGUAAGGAUGAUCCCUACGAUAAGGUUCUGUGGUUUUAUUUUCUCAAGUCUAGACGUAUUUAGUCAAUAAUGAUUUCUUCAAAAGAUAGCCACAUCUCCAAGACAAGAACAGAACGGCCACGUGGCAGAUUUCACACAACCUCACAACAGUACCAUGAACUGUACGGGAGUUUCAUAAUUCAUGAAGGAACAAUAUUCCCUCCCGGGCACUAAAACUAGUCCAGAUAGCACCAAGAACAGCUGGUAAGUCGGACAGUGUGAUUUCCCCUCUCCUCAAGUAUAGAGAGACACAAGUAUGAAACAGCUGGAAAACAUAUUCAAAGGAUGACAGGCACCACGUCACAGCAGAAGUGCCAGGUAAGCUCAGCGCAAAACAGUCCCUUUACUUCUUUCAUUCUUUCUUUCAUUCGUAACCAG